rnacentral:lncRNA from 1 species
GCUCACCCAUUGCAGCAAAGAAGAGGCAUUCCAAAAAGAGAUACAGAAUAUAAAAACAAUAGCCAAGAAGCAUGGUUAUCAGGAAAUAUUAGUGGACAGAAUUUUGAAGGAGAUAGUGACCAAAGACCCAACCGUAAGGCACCCAAGAAUGAACCUUCAAAGUAAUGAACAGGAAAGCGGAUACCUAGUCUUGAACCACUCCCUGAGCAAUUAUAAGACAGUAAAGGGAAUAAUAAAGAAAGGUGGAAAAGCAGCUUGCAAGAGGCCCCCAAUGAUGUUCAGUGGGCUGGGGGGCGUGAGGUGCGGGUGCGCGGGGGAGGAAGGGAUGGGCGUUUGCGGAGUCCCCUUGGGGAGCGGUGGCGCCGGAGC